rnacentral:lncRNA from 1 species
AUGCUCACGCAAGGACUGUGGGCAGCCCUGGAGCCCGCGGGGGGCGUGCAGGGGUGGGUCGGGGUGGGAAGGGCCCCUCUCCCGCCCCAACAGCCCCGAGUCCCCGCUUCCCCUCUCCCCAUCCAGACGGGCUGGGACAAAACCCAACCAAAACCAAACACACCAAAAACAUUGAGAAGAGUCCCCGGAAUCUUCCUGAGACCUCCCGGGGCUGUGAUCAGCCCUUCUCAGCCCGUGACCAGGGGCCGGGCUGGGCGGUGCCCCUGUGAGGACUGUCCCCGCCGUGGAGGGUCUGGCCCCAACGCUCCUGACCCUGGGGACCGCUUGGGGUCACUGCGACCUCAGCUGGGACGUUGGCGAUGGCCGUGCUGUCGGAGUCCAGGACUGACCCACAGCCUCGGGUGCUGGGGCUCGGGCCCUGGCCGGGCCCAGGGGUGCUGUGCUGCGCGAGCUCGUGCCCAUCGCCCGCCUCUCGCUCGUGCCCUGGGCCCUGCGUCUGCGCCCUUGGCCCGCCCAGUGCACCCGGCCUCCGCCGCGACUCGACGCUUCACGCCAGGAAGGUGGCCCCUCCGGGGAGGCCGCCUGGGCACCCACCCCUGCCCCGGGAGCCGCAGCAGGACAGGACGCCCCCCGCCCGCAGCCCCCGCGACACCCGCCCGCGGGCGGAACUGGAUGAGCCCGCGGAAAUUACAGGCUGAGCAGCGUGUUGAACGGCGUCCAACUGCGCCGACAAUGCAGCAGCUGUCCCCGCGCCGCUGCCCAGGGCCGGGGGCAGGACGCUGCUCUGUGGCCGCGGGAGCCUGUCCCGACCCCUCUGUGGCCGCGGCGCGUCCUGCCCUCCGGCCAGCCCGCGGCAGGUCCUCAUGCUCCCCGGCGACACUCCGGCUUGGUCCCGGGAGCUGCCCGGCCCCGCUGCCCCCUGCGCCGCCAGGCUGUGGCCCCUGCAAACUGGCCUUCCGGAACGUGCCGCACCCACGCCACCCCAGGGGGCUGCAUCGGGGCCCGCUGGCAGGGGUGCGUGGACCGGGGGUCGCGUGA